GGAACCGGGGCGCAGCGUCCGGGGAGUGGGAAGGCAGGACGGGAAGGUCAGGCACAGGCAGUUUUGGUGGAGCCAUGGGGCCAGGUCCCCAGGGUCUGUACUGUGAGAAUCCGCCCACAGCGGCCCCGCUCUCACUCGUGACCCGACAUCAGGGAGAGGCCUGGGCGCACCCCGGGACCCGCGUUGUGGGGAGCUCUAGCGCAGCCUCCUGUGGUGCCCAGCAGGAGAAGCGCUUUGGCCAAGGCGACUCCUUCCCCUUCCUGUGCUCCUGACCUCUCCUGGCGUCCUGGCGCCUGUUCCUGGGACACACCAGCCGUGUCCUGCCUGGGACAAUCACC
rnacentral:lncRNA from 1 species